rnacentral:tRNA from 1 species
AGGGAUUUAGCUCAGCGGCUUAAGCGCCUGCCUGGCAAGCAUGAGGUCGAGUUCAAUCCCUG